rnacentral:rRNA from 1 species
UACGUAGGCAGCAAGCGUUGUUCGGAAUUACUGGGCGUAAAGAGUGUGUAGGCGGUGCUCUAAGUCUGUUGUGAAAUCUCCCGGCUUAACCGGGAGGGUGCGGCGGAAACUGGAGUGCUUGAGGGUGGGAGAGGGAUGUGGAAUUCCAGGUGUAGCGGUGAAAUGCGUAGAUAUCUGGAGGAACACCGGUGGCGAAGGCGGCGUUCUGGACUGCAACUGACACUGAGAGACGAAAGCCAGGGGAGCAAACGGG